AGUGAACGCUGGCGGUAGGCCUAACACAUGCAAGUCGAACGGCAGCACAGAGGAGCUUGCUCCUUGGGUGGCGAGUGGCGGACGGGUGAGGAAUACAUCGGAAUCUACUCUGCCGUGGGGGAUAACGUAGGGAAACUUACGCUAAUACCGCAUACGACCUACGGGUGAAAGCAGGGGAUCUUCGGACCUUGCGCGAUUGAAUGAGCCGAUGUCGGAUUAGCUAGUUGGCGGGGUAAAGGCCCACCAAGGCGACGAUCCGUAGCUGGUCUGAGAGGAUGAUCAGCCACACUGGAACUGAGACACGGUCCAGACUCCUACGGGAGGCAGCAGUGGGGAAUAUUGGACAAUGGGCGCAAGCCUGAUCCAGCCAUACCGCGUGGGUGAAGAAGGCCUUCGGGUUGUAAAGCCCUUUUGUUGGGAAAGAAAUCCGUCUGGUUAAUACCCGGGUGGGAUGACGGUACCCAAAGAAUAAGCACCGGCUAACUUCGUGCCAGCCGCCGCGGUAA
rnacentral:rRNA from 1 species